rnacentral:rRNA from 1 species
UACGUAGGUGGCUAGCGUUGUCCGGAUUUACUGGGCGUAAAGAGCGCGCAGGCGGUCGUUCAAGUCGAGUGUGAAAGCCCCCGGCUCAACUGGGGAGGGUCACUCGAUACUGAUCGACUCGAAGGCAGGAGAGGGAAGCGGAAUUCCCGGUGUAGUGGUGAAAUGCGUAGAUAUCGGGAGGAACACCAGUGGCGAAGGCGGCUUUCUGGCCUGCUCUUGACGCUGAGGCGCGAAAGCUAGGGUAGCAAACGGGG